GGUCGAUUGUGCUGGUUUUGAAAACCAGAAUACUAAAUUUAACAGUAUCAGAGGUUCGAAUCCUCUUUUAUCCG
rnacentral:tRNA from 1 species